rnacentral:misc_RNA from 1 species
AUUUUAUCCAAAAUUGAAAUUGGAGUUGGGAAGAGUGUGUAUCAUCCUACGUGCCACUCCAGUUGGCAUAUUUAACCCGUUCUGCUGAUAUUUUCCACAAAGAUGUCUCUGUAUAGAAACAAAUUUCCUGAUUAUGAAGUAUGAACUAUGAUCACACUUAAUAGAACAUGAGAACCCAUUUAAUGAACAGGACUACCUAAUAUUUCUGAAAUAUGAAUGCAACUAAAAAUUAUAGCAAAAAUAAAGCAUAGUCAAAAUAUCAAAUAAUUUGGAACAGUUAACAUACCUGAAGUAAACCUUCCAACCCUAUUCCCAUACCCCUAUAAUUUCUGGCAAAGUAUAAAACUAACAAGCGAGUGCUCCUGAUGAGCUCAU